ensembl:lncRNA
ACCUCAUCAUUAUUAGUAUUGUCCUCUACUAGUUGAGACAGAGCAUUACUGCAGAGGAUAUAUAGUUAAUGUGUUUUAGGAUGACUGAUAUCCAAUGGCAGAACAUUCACAUGUGCAAGAAGAAAUCAAACAAAGAUAAGAGCUUGUCGCAUAAGCCUAACUGCUUCCACAGCUGUUGAGAAAGAGCCAUGAUGAGGCUACACUGGCACCUCAGCUUCGCCUCAGUGUGCUUGUAUGUGUGCGGUAAUAUAUUUCAGCCGGAUCACCGCAAUGAAAAGUGGAACCAUUGUGAAGGACACUUUUACAAGGGAUGGACCCAUCUUCGACUGCUUCUUAAAAAAGCAUCUGUGGACUUCUGUUGUAAAUGCCAUGAAGAGAAAUGCAUUUCCAUUGCUAUUUUUCCAACUUUAAGACAUGUGCCUGUUUUUUGGGCAUAUAAAAUAAGCCAUAAAGGGGACCCUGUUUUGUCAGAGCACAAUCUGUUGAAGAAUAUUACAACUUGGUAUAUAUCACCAUCGGUUGUUGAGGAUCUGCUCAGAGAAAAGUUGCAUUCACUCCCAUCUCAAGUGACCUCAAGACCCUCCCUAUCAACAACACAUAUUUUAAGUGGUGUGUUUCCUCUCAAUGCGAAAUACAUUCACAAAGAGGGAAACUGGCACAACUCAGGCUACAUUCACUGGAUCACAUAUCACCACACAAAUGUGAAGGGGCUUAGUUUUGAAGGAGCACUUGUCCAAAACAGUCAGGAGAAAUGUAAGUGGAAAUGGCUGAUGGUGAAGCAACUGGUUGGGAUUCUUUCUGAAGUCUUUUCGGCCAAACCCAUGCGAACCUUCUUCAAUCAUCAAAACAUGAAGUGCGCAGGAUCAAUCAUAUGCCAUGCACUUGGAUUUACAGAGGACUUCAUAAAGAGGAAAUAAAGAGUACAGUUUUAAAACCAAAGAUAAUUAGGAGAUUACUAAGAGGGAAGACGCAUUCAUCUAAACAAGGCAUCACUUCAAAAACGUGUCUUAUAAUUGGUUUAUUCCAUGUUAAAAGAAAAGCAGUCACAAAACUGGACAAGCAGCCAAAUGAAAACCCCACUUACUGGACUACUGACCAUCAUUCUGGUCUAAUAACAGAUGGGUUUCCAGGGGAUGCUUUUGAAGACGCCCCUGAAAGAUGUUUAUGGAAACAGGUGUCAGAACUAGCUAAGAUGCUAAGGAAUAUUUUCCCAUCUGCCACAAAGUUGAAAAUAUUUACUAAUCAAAAGAGUUCAACUGUUAUCUGUCCCAUAAACCAGGCUACAAGAUAUUCACAACAGCACCAAGGAGCAGAAAUUGAAAUAAAUGAGUUAGCAGAAAGUGCAAUGAAAUUCGCGUCCAAUCCUAGUAAUGAUGCUGUCAUCAACGUGGAAAAAAUACUGCUGUUAUUAGGAAUGGGAAUUUUCCAAAUGACAGCAAAGGACAGCAUAGUUACACCAACCACUGUCAUAAUAGAUGACGAGUCUAAUGUAUUUGAUGACAAGAUGACUUCAACCAUGUCAUUCAGUCAAACGGAUACAAUACCACAUAAUGUAGAAGAUAAAGAUCUUCUGUUAAGUACAGAAGAUAUUGAAAUGAAUACAAGUGAAUUAGAAGUUCCAGUCACCUCCAGAAAAUAUGCAAAUACUAUCACACUUGCAAAACAGAUGGGAAUUACAACAGCGCAGACUAAAACAGACUGUACAACAGAACUGGAGAUGCCAUCAGCAGAAAAUAAAGGAAGUGAGAAGAAAAUAUCUUCAGUGGAAGCAGUUGAGGAAACCACAAAAGAUGGUCAAAAACACCAGACAAGCUUCAGUGGGAUUAGAUUAACGAUGGCAAAAGCAACAACAGAAAAAGGAAACAAUGUAUCUGAUAUAAAACACAAGGAUGAGAAAGAAUAUGCUGAGCAAAGAGAGGACUACACAGCAACAGAGAAGCUGAUCUUGGUUACAAGUCAACCUGAUACUUUAAUGACAAAAGAACCCCGAACAAAUAAACCAGUGACACCAACCACAUCCAGAGGGAAUACAUAUACUGCCAUGCUGACAGAAAAAGAGACUGGAAUGACAACAGAAUAUCCUGAAACAGAACAUAAAACAGAAAUUGAGUUACAAACACUUGAAGACAAAAAACCUGUGGAGCGAACAGAUACCUCAUAUGGAGAAAGACGGUUUGAC